CACCACUUUGAACUGGAGUAAGCAUUCUACUCGACCGAUCGACAUCGUAAACAUGAUUUCGAAACUGCUUGUGUGUUUGUUAUUGGGAGCAGUCAAUGCUGUCCCUCAGGGGUAUGGGGCCCCUCCCCCUCCAUCCUACAGCGCAUCCCGGUGGUCCCUCGGGUCCCGUGGUUCCUAUUCUCGUCGACGUUCGCGAGGGACCUGAUGCUGCUAGGUCCUACAACUUCAACUUCGAAACUGGGGAUGGUGGCAUCAGCCGUCAUGAGCAAGGCGCCCCUCAGGGGCCCGAAGGAGCAGUGGCUGCCCAGGGAGGCUGGAGCUUCACCUUCCCCGACGGCACCCCGGGAGUCUUCAACUUCGUAGCUGAUGGCAGUGGUACCGCGUCGAGUCUGACCUCCUGCCCACUACCCCAACCCCCUCGCCC